GGAGAGAUGGCCGAGUGGACGAAGGCGCACGCCUGGAGAGCGUGUGGGCGGCUUAGCUCCGUCCCGUGGGUUCGAAUCCCACUCUCUCCGCCA
rnacentral:tRNA from 2 species